rnacentral:ncRNA from 1 species
CCGCAUAGAAACGGGAGCUUGGAGGAGCCAGGCUGAGAGGGCGGGGAAAUUCUACGCCGACCGUGAUACCUGAUCUGGGUAAUGCCAGCGUAGGGAACAGGGAAUCACCCUGU